rnacentral:misc_RNA from 1 species
UGUGGGAGCGGGCUUGCCCGCGAUAGCAGUGUGUCAGGUUAAAACUAAUUGACUGACACACCGCCAUCGCGGGCAAGCCCGCUCCCACA